rnacentral:rRNA from 1 species
GGAAGGAUCAUUACCG